GAUGAACGCUGGCGGCGUGCUUAACACAUGCAAGUCGAACGGUGAAGGCGGAGCUUGCUCUGCUGGAUCAGUGGCGAACGGGUGAGUAACACGUGAGCAAUCUGCCCCUGACUCUGGGAUAAGCGCUGGAAACGGCGUCUAAUACUGGAUACGAGCUGCGAAGGCAUCUUCAGCAGCUGGAAAGAAUUUCGGUCAGGGAUGAGCUCGCGGCCUAUCAGCUUGUUGGUGAGGUAAUGGCUCACCAAGGCGUCGACGGGUAGCCGGCCUGAGAGGGUGACCGGCCACACUGGGACUGAGACACGGCCCAGACUCCUACGGGAGGCAGCAGUGGGGAAUAUUGCACAAUGGGCGAAAGCCUGAUGCAGCAACGCCGCGUGAGGGACGACGGCCUUCGGGUUGUAAACCUCUUUUAGCCGGGAAGAAGCGAAAGUGACGGUACCUGCAGAAAAAGCGCCGGCUAACUACGUG
rnacentral:rRNA from 1 species